AGACAGGAUCUCAUCAUCUUGCACACACUGGUCUCAAACUCCUGGGCUCAAGUGAUCCUCUUGCCUUGGCCUCCCAAAAUAUUGGGAUUACAGGUGUGAGCCACAGGUCCCAGCCAAAAUGGUCUCUCUUAAGAAUGCUUUUCUUACCAUCUUAAAAAAGUUGAACAAGAAAAGGCAUUUUCUCGUUGCCUCUGGGCCACUGAUAUGAACAUUACUGAGCGAUGACACAAUAAGGGGACUACAGGAUGUUCAGUGGUGUCUGUUCUGUAGGACGCAGGUCUGGAG
ensembl:lncRNA novel transcript